CCGGGCCUCGUCCCCGACUUUGGCUAAAGGAAGACUUCGUCCGGACUCUUACGGGCGCCGGACUCCGGGCUCCUCUCAAAUGGAUAGCUAACCACCCCUCUCCGCCAGACACUCCAGCUGAACUUCAGCCGACAGGUCUGCACUCCCUGACAUGACGCAGCAAUGGCCACGAUCCUGCUCCACUUCCUGCGAUGGAUUCCGCACGGCUCCAUUACUCCCUGGCAGACCGCUAUGAUGCCCACGAUCCUGCUCCACUUCCUGCGACGGAUACCACACGAUUCUUCCAUCCUUUGGCAAGUCGCGACAACGGACGCCGCUCCACUCCCUACGACAGACUCCACAUGGCGCGCUUCGGUGAUAGCCACGGGUCUACUCCACUACUCUUCGCAACAAACUCCGCCUGACCCUGGGCAGCCCACAACCAGACGGUUACAGACAUCGCUAUCAGUCCGUUGCUCCCUCCGCCUAUAAAUGGGGGACCUAAGAUACAUUAUUCUCUAAGCUCUCAUUUUUACCUAGAAACUCUGCUAAAAUUUUCAUUCGAGCACUUCAUUCUUGUUGAGGCAGAGAACUGACUUGAGCAUCGGAGGAUCUUGCCGGAGCAACCCCACCUCCAGUUUAGAUUUCUUUUGCAGGUUCCGGUGGCGACCGUGACUCCUUCGACUCCAGCUUCUCCAGCGCAGGUGAAUUUUUGCACCAACAAAAAUUAAUCUAAAACUUAUAGACCGAAGGCGUGCAAUGCAUUGUCCUAAGGUAAUUUUUGACCCUCGUGCGGGAUUAGACUCAAGAACUCCAUCCUAAGAUAUAACCGAAAACCUCUCCUACAGGCAUGACUAUGGAGAGGAUGACAAAGUUUCAACCUAAUAGAUGAAAGAUCAAAGAAUUGGAUUAAGAAAAACUUAGAAGAAGAAAGCUUUAGAGGAUAACAAGAAGAGAUUAGAUUAGAAGAGG
rnacentral:lncRNA from 1 species